AUUAAAUUUUGUUAGUGUUGUUCUAUUCUCCAAACCCACCUUCUUCCUUAUGCACAUGCUCAGUUCCAUUGAGGUCAAAAUGGGAUGUUUCAGCAGAUAAUGAAACACAUCCAGGACUUGACACG